rnacentral:rRNA from 1 species
AGUGAACGCUGGCGGUAGGCCUAACACAUGCAAGUCGAACGGCAGCACAGAGGAGCUUGCUCCUUGGGUGGCGAGUGGCGGACGGGUGAGGAAUACAUCGGAAUCUACUCUGUCGUGGGGGAUAACGUAGGGAAACUUACGCUAAUACCGCAUACGACCUACGGGUGAAAGCAGGGGAUCUUCGGACCUUGCGCGAUUGAAUGAGCCGAUGUCGGAUUAGCUAGUUGGCGGGGUAAAGGCCCACCAAGGCGACGAUCCGUAGCUGGUCUGAGAGGUAGAUCAGACACACUGGAACUGAGACACGGUCCAGACUCCUACGGGAGGCAGCAGUGGGGAAUAUUGGACAAUGGGCGCAAGCCUGAUCCAGCCAUACCGCGUGGGUGAAGAAGGCCUUCGGGUUGUAAAGCCCUUUUGUUGGGAAAGAAAUCCAGCUGGUUAAUACCCGGUUGGGAUGACGGUACCCAAAGAAUAAGCACCGGCUAACUACGUGCCAGCCGCCGCCGUAA